rnacentral:rRNA from 1 species
GAAGUGCGAAUGCUGACAUAAGUAACGAUAAAGCGGGUGAAAAGCCCGCUCGCCGGAAGACCAAGGGUUCCUGUCCAACGUUAAUCGGGGCAGGGUGAGUCGACCCCUAAGGCGAGGCCGAAAGGCGACGCUUAUCGGCACCUUUGCGGUGAUGGUGUUUUUGGAUUUUUACAUUAAUAACCUGACGCUGAUGGCGCUCACUAUCGCCACGGGUUUCGUGGUGGACGAUGCGAUUGUGGUGAUCGAGAACAUCUC